CGGGAUUAGAUCCCGUUGGGAUGUGGUCCUGCUGGCAGGGCUGAACCGUGAA
ncrna:Methanosarcina horonobensis HB-1 = JCM 15518 eL15-Euryarchaeota ribosomal protein leader